rnacentral:rRNA from 1 species
GCAGUGUACCCGCGGCAAGACGGAAAGACCCCGUGAACCUUUACUAUAGCUUGACACUGAACAUUGAGCCUUGAUGUGUAGGAUAGGUGGGAGGCUUUGAAGCGUGGACGCCAGUCUGCGUGGAGCCGACCUUGAAAUACCACCCUUUAAUGUUUGAUGUUCUAACGUGGACCCGUUACCCGGGUUGCGGACAGUGUCUGGUGGGUAGUUUGACUGGGGCGGUCUCCUCCUAAAGAGUAACGGAGGAGCACGAAGGUUGGCUAAUCCUGGUCGGACAUCAGGAGGUUAGUGCAAUGGCAUAAGCCAGCUUGACUGCGAGCGUGACGGCGCGAGCAGGUGCGAAAGCAGGUCAUAGUGAUCCGGUGGUUCUGAAUGGAAGGGCCAUCGCUCAACGGAUAAAAGGUACUCCGGGGAUAACAGGCUGAUACCGCCCAAGAGUUCAUAUCGACGGCGGUGUUUGGCACCUCGAUGUCGGCUCAUCACAUCCUGGGGCUGAAGUAGGUCCCAAGGGUAUGGCUGUUCGCCAUUUAAAGUGGUACGCGAGCUGGGUUUAGAACGUCGUGAGACAGUUCGGUCCCUAUCUGCCGUGGGCGCUGGAGAACUGAGGGGGGCUGCUCCUAGUACGAGAGGACCGGAGUGGACGCAUCACUGGUGUUCGGGUUGUCAUGCCAAUGGCACUGCCCGGUAGCUAAAUGCGGAAGAGAUAAGUGCUGAAAGCAUCUAAGCACGAAACUUGCCCCGAGAUGAGUUCUCCCUGAGACUUAGAGUCUCCUGAAGGAACGUUGAAGACGACGACGUUGAUAGGCCGGGUGUGUAAGCGCAGCGAUGCGUUGAGCUAACCGGUACUAAUGAACCGUGAGGCUUAACCUUACAACGCCGAAG